UACGGAGGGUGCAAGCGUUAAUCGGAAUUACUGGGCGUAAAGCGUGCGCAGGCGGUUUGUUAAGUCUGCUGUGAAAUCCCCGAGCUCAACUUGGGAAUUGCAGUGGAUACUGGCAGGCUGGAGUACGGUAGAGGAAGGUGGAAUUCCCGGUGUAGCAGUGAAAUGCGUAGAUAUCGGGAGGAACACCAGUGGCGAAGGCGGCCUUCUGGACCAAUACUGACGCUCAUGCACGAAAGCGUGGGGAGCAAACAGG
rnacentral:rRNA from 1 species